rnacentral:rRNA from 1 species
UACGAAGGGAGCUAGCGUUGUUCGGAAUCACUGGGCGUAAAGCGCCCGUAGGCGGAUGUGUCAGUCAGGGGUGAAAUCCCGGAGCUCAACUUCGGAACUGCCUUUGAUACAGCACGUCUUGAGUCCGGAAGAGGUGGGUGGAAUUCCUAGCGUAGAGGUGAAAUUCGUAGAUAUUAGGAAGAACACCGGUGGCGAAGGCGGCCCACUGGUCCGGUACUGACGCUGAGGUGCGAAAGCGUGGGGAGCAAACAGG